UCCCGAGUGCUUGCACUCAAUUGGAAAGAGGAGUGGCGGACGGGUGAGUAACACGUGGGUAACCUACCCAUCAGAGGGGGAUAACACUUGGAAACAGGUGCUAAUACCGCAUAACAGUUUAUGCCGCAUGGCAUAAGAGUGAAAGGCGCUUUCGGGUGUCGUUGAUGGAUGGACCCGCGGUGCAUUAGCUAGUUGGUGAGGUAACGGCUCACCAAGGCCACGAUGCAUAGCCGACCUGAGAGGGUGAUCGGCCACACUGGGACUGAGACACGGCCCAGACUCCUACGGGAGGCAGCAGUAGGGAAUCUUCGGCAAUGGACGAAAGUCUGACCGAGCAACGCCGCGUGAGUGAAGAAGGUUUUCGGAUCGUAAAACUCUGUUGUUAGAGAAGAACAAGGACGUUAGUAACUGAACGUCCCCUGACGGUAUCUAACCAGAAAGCCACGGCUAACUACGUGCCAGCAGCCGCGGUAAUACGUAGGUGGCAAGCGUUGUCCGGAUUUAUUGGGCGUAAAGCGAGCGCAGGCGGUUUCUUAAGUCUGAUGUGAAAGCCCCCGGCUCAACCGGGGAGGGUCAUUGGAAACUGGGAGACUUGAGUGCAGAAGAGGAGAGUGGAAUUCCAUGUGUAGCGGUGAAAUGCGUAGAUAUAUGGAGGAACACCAGUGGCGAAGGC
rnacentral:rRNA from 1 species